rnacentral:rRNA from 1 species
UACGGAGGGGGCUAGCGUUGUUCGGAAUUACUGGGCGUAAAGCGUACGUAGGCGGCUUUGUAAGUUAGAGGUGAAAGCCCGGGGCUCAACCCCGGAAUUGCCUUUAAGACUGCAUCGCUUGAACGUCGGAGAGGUGAGUGGAAUUCCGAGUGUAGAGGUGAAAUUCGUAGAUAUUCGGAAGAACACCAGUGGCGAAGGCGGCUCACUGGACGACUGUUGACGCUGAGGUACGAAAGCGUGGGGAGCAAACAGGG